GUGCUUAACACAUGCAAGUCGAACGAUGAAGCCCUUCGGGGUGGAUUAGUGGCGAACGGGUGAGUAACACGUGGGCAAUCUGCCCUUCACUCUGGGACAAGCCCUGGAAACGGGGUCUAAUACCGGAUAACACUCCUGCCUGCAUGGGCGGGGGUUAAAAGCUCCGGCGGUGAAGGAUGAGCCCGCGGCCUAUCAGCUUGUUGGUGGGGUAAUGGCCCACCAAGGCGACGACGGGUAGCCGGCCUGAGAGGGCGACCGGCCACACUGGGACUGAGACACGGCCCAGACUCCUACGGGAGGCAGCAGUGGGGAAUAUUGCACAAUGGGCGAAAGCCUGAUGCAGCGACGCCGCGUGAGGGAUGACGGCCUUCGGGUUGUAAACCUCUUUCAGCAGGGAAGAAGCGAAAGUGACGGUACCUGCAGAAGAAGCGCCGGCUAAC
rnacentral:rRNA from 1 species